GACGAACCGAGCGAACGUUAUUCGGAAUCACUGGGCUUAAAGGGCGCGUAGGCGGGCCAUCAAGUCAAGGGUGAAAUCCCCGGCUCAAACCGGGGAAGUGCCCCUGAUACUGAUGGCCUUGAGGGAGUGAGGGCGUGCGGAACUUCGGUGGAGCGGUGAAUGCGUAGAUAUCGGAAGGAACACCGGUGGCGAAAGCGGCGCGGCUGGACCUCUUCUGACGCUGAGGCGACGAAAGCGUGGGAGCAACAGGGAUUAAGAU
rnacentral:rRNA from 1 species